GACGAACGCUGGCGGCGUGCCUAACACAUGCAAGUCGAACGAGACCUUCGUGUCUAUUUGCGCACGUGUGCUUAACACGGGGUAACCUACCCUUAGGUUAGGAAUAACUCCCCGAAGGGUGUCCUCAUACCAGAUAGUGUCAUACCACCAAAGACCUACUGCCUUUGGAUGGGCCCUCGUUGGAUUAGCUAGUUGGUAGGGGAAUAGCAUACCAAGGCGAGGAUCCAUAGCUGGUCUGAGAGGAUGGUUAUCUACACUGGGACUGAGACACGGACUAGACUCGUACGCGAGGGAGCAGUGGGGAAUAUUGGACAAGGGGCGAAAGUCUGAUACAGCAACGCGGCGGAAGUGAUCAAGGGAUUAGUGUUGUAAAGCUCCUUUACACGGGAUGAUAAUGACGGUACCGGGAGAAUAAGCUCCGGCUAACUCCGUG
rnacentral:rRNA from 1 species